AUUACAUAGCAGAAAUUAGCACUGAGCAUUUCAGAUGCUUCAAAACGAGUUUGCAGUUAUGUAUUUUGGCAGAUCAAGGGGAGAUGUUUUCUUUCAAAUGGAUUAACUCAAAGAAGUAAUUUGUUUUUUACAAUAAGGGUGUUGAGGCAGUGGCACAGGUUGCCCAGAGUGGUGGUGGACGCCCCAUCCAUGCAGAAACCCGAGGUCAGGCUGGAUGGGGCUCUGAGCACCUGAUGGAGCUGUAGGUGUCCCUGUUCAUUGCAGGGGAGUUGGACCAGAUGGCCUUCAAGGGUCCCUUCCAACUCAAAAAAUCCUAUGAUUCUAUGAAGUGAGACGCAUCCUAUGCCUACAAGAGAGUCCAGAAUGUCAGUGCUGAUUAAAAUACACAAUCCAAUAUAUGCUAUUUUAGUAGGAAUAUAAUUACAUGAAGGAAAAUUCAUUUUAGUGUAUUUGAGGAAAUAUAUCCCACACUUUUGUCUCUCUGUUUCACUUUGGUUACUACACAGAGUUGCCAACACCCACAGAAAGGGCAUCAAGAAUUAGGUACUGAUUGUUCUGUGGUGGUCCAGUUAUUCACUCAAGGAAACCCAUACACUUCUUUCUCUAUGAACUUCAAAAAUUCUCGACAGCUCCCUUCAAGGGCGGUGUCCUGGUUUCAGCAAAAAAAAGCGUUAGGGGCACACCGAGCUUCGGUCGCUGCUGAGCGGCGAGGCCGCACCCUGCGUCAGGCUGGGCCGCUGGGCGGGGCGGAGCCGCCGCCAUGAUGGACAGCAGCGGGGCCGGGGCGGGGCCGGGACUGAGUCCGCAUUGGGCAGGGGCUGUUCCAUACCGCGUGACGUCAGGCGGACGCCAUAAGGCUGUGGGAACGGCAGUGCUUGAUCGGCAGUUGUGGAGGUUGUGGUGUCGCCGUAGCUGUAGCUUUGUUUAUUGUUGUGUAUUCGUUGGUGGACGGAACAGGGAGCGCCUGCGGAGGAUGGCGAGUGCCUGCAGAGCAAGGGAGCACCUGCGGAUGAUGGGAGUACCUGCAGAGAAGAAGGAGGGUUUGCGGAGGACACAGUGCCGUCGGAGAAUACAGGUAGUGCGCCGGCGGAGGUUAGAGGUAGUGCGCUGUCAGAAGAUAGAGGUGGAGCAUCUGUGGAGGAUGGGAGCACUGUCAGAAGACAGAGGUAGUGCGUCGGUAGAGGUUAGAGGUAGUGCACCAUUGGAGGAUAAAGGUGGAGGGUUUGCAGAGGACGGGAACACCUGAGGAGAUGGGGAGUGCCUGCAGAGGACAGGAACGUCGUCAGAGGAUAGUAGUUGUGCGCUGGCAAAGGUUAGAGGUAGUGUGCUAGCAGAGGAAAGAGGUGCAACAGCUGCGGGGGAUGGGAGAGCCAUCAGAAGAUAGAGGUAGUGCGCCAGCAGAGGUUAGAUGUAGUGCGACAUUGGAAGAUAGAGGUGGAGUGUCUGUGGAGAAUGAAAGCACCUGCAGAGAACAGGGAGCGCCAGCAGAGGAUGGGAGCACCGUCAGAAGAUAGAGGUAGCACGCCGGUGGAGGUUAGAUGUAGUGUGCCAUCAGAGAAUAGAGGUGGAGUACCUGCGGAGGACAGGGAGCACCUGUGGGGAACAGGGAGCGCUUGCAGAGGACAGGAGCACCGUCAGAAUAUAGAGGUAGUGCGCCAGCAGAGGUUAGAGGUAGUGCACCAUUGGAGGACAGAGGUGGAUGGUCUGUGGAGGACAGGAGCACCUGAAGAAAACAGGGAGCACCUACGGGGGACGGGAGCUCAGUCAGAAGACAAAGGUAGCACCAGCAGAGAUUAGAGGUAACACACCAGCAGAGGAUAAGAGGUAGCACGCCGGCAAAGGUUAGAGGUAGUGCACUGUCAGAUGAUAGAGGUGUAACGUAUGCGGAGAAAAAGAGGACCUGCGGAGAACAAGGAGUGCCUGCAGAUGAUGGGAGCACAAUCAGAAGAUAGAGGUAGCUUGCCGGCAGAGGUUAGAGGUAGUGCACUGUUGGAGGAUCAAAGUAGUGGGUCUGCAGAGAACAGGAGAACCUGCGGAGAACAGGGAGUGACUGCAGAGGACGGGAACACCGGCAGAAAACAGAAUUAGUGCACUGGCAGAGGUUAGAUGUAGUGCGCUGUUGGAGGAUAGAGGUGGAAUGUCUGCGGAGGAAAAGAGCACCUGCAGGGAACUGGAAGUAAUUGUAGAGGACAGGAGUGCCGUCAUAAGACAGAUUUAGUGCGCUGGCAGAGGUUAGAUGUAGUGUGCCAUCAGAAGAUAUAGGUGGAGCAUCUGCAGAGGACAGGAGCAUCUGCAGAGAACACAGAAGGCCUGCAGAUGAUGGGAGUGUUUUCAGAAGAUAGAGGUAGUGCGCUGGCAGAGGUUAGAUGUAGUGCCCCAUCAGAGGAUCGAGGUGGAGGGUCUGGGGAGGAUGAGAUCACCUGCAGAGAACAUGGAGAGCCUGUGCAGGACGGGAGCGCUGUUGGAAGACAGAGUUAGUGAGCUGGCAGAGUUUAGAUGCAGUGUGCCAUCACGGGAUAGAGGUGAAGAGUCUGUGGAGGACGGGAGCACCUGUGGAGAACAAAGAGUGUCUGCAGAUGACGGGAGCGCGAACAGAAGAUAGAGGUAGCACACUGGCAGUGGUUACAGGUAGUGCGCUGUCACAGGAUCGAAGUGCAAGAUGUGGGGAGGAUGGGAACAUCUGUGGAGAUCAAGGAGUGCCUGCAGAUGAUGGAAGCAUGAUCUGAAGAUAGAGGUAGCUUGCAGGCAGAGGUUAGAGGUAGUGUGCUGUUGGAGGAUUGAGGUGGAGGGUCUGCAGAGGACGGGAGCACCUGCGGCAAGCAGGGACUGACUGCGAAGAACGGGAGUGCUGUCAGAAGGAAUAGCUAGUGAACCGGCAGAGGUUAGAGGUAGUGUGCCAUCAGAGGAUCGAGGUGGAGGGUCUGGGGUGGAUGGGAGCACCUGUGGAGGACAGGAGUGCUGUCAGAAGGCAUAGUUAGUGCGCCAGCAGAGGUUAGAGGUAGUGUGCCAUCAGAGGAUUGAGGUGGAGGGUCUGCGGAGUAUCGGACCACCUGAGGACAACAGGGAGCACCUGCGGAGGAUGGGAGCGCUGUCAGAAGGCAUAGUUAGUGCGCCGGCAGAGGUUAGAGGUAGUGUGCCUUCAGAGGACAUAGGUAGAGCACCUGUGGAGGAUGGGGGUACCUGCAGAGAACACAGAACACCUGGAGAUGAUGGGAGCACUGUCGGAAUGCGUAGUUAGUGCACCAGCAGAGGUUAGAUGUAGUGCAUCAUCAGAGGAUAUAGGUGGAGCAUCGGCAGAGGACGGGAACACCUACAGAGAUCAAGGAGUGCCUGCAGAUGACGGGAGUGUUGUCAGAAGAUAGAGGUAGUGCGCUGUCGGAGGAUCGAGGUGGAGCGUCUGGGGAGGACGGGAGCAUUUGUGGAGAACAGGGAGCAGCUGUGGAGGACAGGAGUGCUGUCAGAAGUCAGUUAGUGCGCCAGCAGAGGUUAGAUGUAGUGUGCCUUCAGAGGAUAUAGGUGGAGCAUCUGCGGAGGAUAGGAGCACCUGUGGAGAACAGGAAGUGAUUGCCAAGGACAGCAGCACCAUCAGAAGACAGAGUUAGUGCGCCAGCAGAGGUUAGAUGUAGUGCAUCAUCAGAGGAUCGAGUUGGAGCGUCUGCGGAGAACAAGAGCAGCUGCGGAGAACACAGACGGCAUGCAGAUGAUGGGAGCGUGGUUAGAAGAUAGAGGUAGUGUGCCAGCAGAGGUUAGAUGUAGUGUGCCAUUAGAGGAUCAAGGUGGAGGGUCUGCCUAGGAUCGGAGUACCUCAGGAGAACAGGGAGCACCUGCGGAGGACAGGAGUGCUGUCAGAAGGCAUAGUUAGUGCGUCAGCAGAGGUUAGAUGUAGUGCAUCAUCAGAGGAUCGAGUUGGAGCGUCUGCAGAGGACAAGAGCAUCUGCGGAGAACAGUGACCGCUUGCAGAUGAUGGGAGCGUGGUUAGAAGAUAGAGGUAGUGCGCCGGCAGAGGUUAGAGGUAAUGUGUCAUCAGAGGAUUGAGGUGGAGAGUCUGCAGAGGAUCGGAGCACCUGAGGAGAACAGGGAGCACGUGCGGAGGACGGGAGCGCUGUCAGAAGGCAUAGUUAGUGCGCCGGCAGAGGUUAGAUGUAGUGUGCCUUCAGAGGAUAGAGGUGGAGCAUCUGCGGAGGAUAGGAGCACCUGCGGAGGACAGGAAGCAAUUGCCAAGGACAGGAGCAGCAUCAGAAGACAGAGUUAGUGCGCUGGCAGAGGUUAGAUGUAGUGCAUCAUCAGAGGAUCGAGUUGGAGCAUCUGCGGAGGACAAGAGCAUCUGCGGAGAACAGAGACCACUUGCAGAUGAUGGGAGCGUGGUUAGG
ensembl:lncRNA